CCUACGGGUGGCAGCAGUCGAGAAUCAUUCACAAUGGGGGAAACCCUGAUGGUGCGACGCCGCGUGGGGGAAUGAAGGUCUUCGGAUUGUAAACCCCUGUCAUGUGGGAGCAAAUUAAAAAGAUAGUACCACAAGAGGAAGAGACGGCUAACUCUGUGCCAGCAGCCGCGGUAAUACAGAGGUCUCAAGCGUUGUUCGGAAUCACUGGGCGUAAAGGGUGCGUAGGCUGUUUCGUGAGUCGUGGGGGAAAGGCGCGGGCUCAACCCGCGGACGGCACAUGAUACUGCGAGACUAGAGUAAUGGAGGGGGAACCGGAAUUCUCGGUGUAGCAGUGAAAUGCGUAGAUAUCGAGAGGAACACUCGUGGCGAAGGCGGGUGCCUGGACAUUAACUGACGCUGAGGCACGAAGGCCAGGGGAGCGAAAGGGAUUAGAUACCCGUGUAGUC
rnacentral:rRNA from 1 species